CAAAUGCCGCAAGCAUUUAACGAAAAGUAACUGGUGACCGAGAAGCUGUUGCUUUUUCACCUUCCUCUUAGAGUUCUCUCUCCAAUUCUCUCUUUCUCUGUUCAAGUAUAAUCAUCACGCCUGCUGUGACCCACAGAAAUUCCACGUUUAAUUUUUUUUUUUUAUUUCUAUAUCGAUGUAUAAAUUAAUAGAUUCACAUAACACUGCUCUUUUCAAUUAUAUAGUUUCAAUUUGUCUUUUGACUGUGUUCGAUAUUUUUGGCUUCGUUAAAGUGCAACAUUCGAGUAAAUGGUCUUGACAAAUAUAAAAUUUAUAGAAUUUCGCCAGUAGAUCGAAUAUUCUUUCUUCUAAAUAAAGAAAUUAAAUAAAAGAUUCCAGGUGAAAAUGGAUGAUUGCCAUUUAAAGAUCUGAGAUAAGGCACAAGAAAAUUGAAUCCGGUUCCUUAAAAUUAACAUCUUCAUCACUUAAAUCGGCACAAUAUUUUGUAGCUCAUAUUUUUGACAAGGUUGUCACCAUACAAUUUUUCUCAUAGAGCUCUUUCAUCUGAAGUAAAUCUCGAACUCAGAAGAAUGGCUGUGAAAACAGCUUAGAAGAUUGGCUAAAUACCUUUACAAAAGGAGGAAAAACGUAGAAGUAACCAGCAAGCCUCUACAGAGUAUUGACACCAGUCCUCUCGACCUCCAGUUAAGCACUUAGUACCAU
rnacentral:lncRNA from 1 species